GACGAACGCUGCGGCUUGCUUAACACAUUCAAGUCGAACGGAAAGGCCCUUCUUUUGUUGGGUUCUCGGGUGGCGAACGGGUGAGUAACACGUGAGUAACCUGCCCUUGACUUUUGGAUAACUUCAGGAAACUGGGGCUAAUACCGGAUAGGCGCUCCUGCUGCAUGGUGGGGGUUGGAAAGUUUCGGCGUUUGGGGAUGGACUCGCGGCUUAUCAGCUUGUUGGUGGGGUAGUGGCUUACCAAGGCUUUGCAGGGUAGCCGGCCUGAGAGGGUGACCGGCCACAUUGGGACUGAGAUACGGCCCAGACUCCUACGGGAGGCAGCAGUGGGGAAUAUUGCACAAUGGGAGGAAGCCUGAUGCAGAAACGCCGCGUGCGGGAUGACGGCCUUCGGGGUGUAAACAGCUUUAGCCUGUGACGAAGCGUGAGUGACGGUAAUGGGUAAAGAAGCACCGGCUAACUACGUG
rnacentral:rRNA from 1 species